GCAAAAGAUAAAGGAGGAUAUAGCGUGUAAUGACAGACAUUUAGUGUGUAAGAGCAUGUUUAUGUAACCCUUCUAUUAUGUUUUGAGUCAAUUUGACCCCAGGCUGUUUUAGCUUUAUAAAACAUUAUCCUAUGGUCUUUUGAUUUCAAAUGCAAUUCAAUUGCAAUUUCAGGGGCACUUCUAAAAUAUUUUGGAGCAUCCUCUGCCACUGGUCAGGAUGAGCCAACCACCUCCUCCGCUAAACAUAUGUCUCCACAAAUAUCUGAUAUUGAGGAUGAAGACCUCUUUGCCUCUACUUCUCCCCAGCAUGAGCUUUCAGAAAUGCCUGGAGCUGAACCCCCACUGAGCCCCACUGGUGAGGAUGAGCCUCUGUCAACCGACCCUGCUAACUGGCCCUCACAUCUGACUAAAAGGAUUCGGACUGAGCUGGUUCGCAGAGGACCAAGUAAGGUGCCACCUGGCUUUGUUUUCCGUAGGAAUGAGAGUGAUGGGAGAAGUUGCCACCACCAAUAUUUUAAGAAGACAUUAGUAAGUGGUGAAAAGAUGGCAAGAAGUUGGCUGAUUUAUUCAAUUAAGAACAACAGCCUCUUUUGCUUC